rnacentral:tmRNA from 1 species
CAGUAGAUUAGCUUUAUCGCUGCAACAGUUGCGGCGACGAGACAUCACCCGAUUGUCCUUUUUCCGAGACGGAUCGAUAUGGUGGUGCAGGUAAAUCGGAAAUAUGGCAGUGAAAGCCUCGAUAUCUGCCGAGAUUUUAGAGGAUAAGGCGUCGAUUGGUCGUCCUUUACCUGUCGGCGUUCGAAAACCAAUAUAGGAAUAAGCAUGUAGAAAGCUCAUUGUCUGGGCGUCUGGACGAGGGUUCAAACCCCUCCAGCUCCACUA